rnacentral:rRNA from 1 species
GAUUUCUGAACUGUUCGCUUCUAGCCGGCCACGGUUUCGUGUGUUAGUGCCUGAUGCGCUGUUCAUCCUUCCAUUUCUCUAAUCUACUCCUCUUCAUUGCGGUGGUAGGCUUAGGGUUGGAUCUUUUACUUUGAAAAAAUUAGAGUGUUUCAAGCAGGCUUAAUGCUAUGAAUACAUUAGCAUGGAAUAAUAAUUUAGGACUUCGGUUCUAUUUUGUUGGUUUCUAGGACUGAAGUAAUGAUUGAUAGGGAUAGUUGGGGGUGCUAGUAUUCAGCGGCCAGAGGUGAAAUUCUCGGAUUCGCUGAAGACUAACUUAUGCGAAAGCAUU